rnacentral:rRNA from 1 species
CACGUAGGGGGCGAGCGUUGUCCGGAUUUAUUGGGCGUAAAGGGUGCGUAGGCGGCGCGGUAAGUCGGGUGUGAAAUCUUGGAGCUUAACUCCGAAACUGCAUUCGAUACUGCCGUGCUUGAGGACUGGAGAGGAGACUGGAAUUUACGGUGUAGCGGUGAAAUGCGUAGAUAUCGUAAGGAAGACCAGUGGCGAAGGCGGGUCUCUGGACAGUUCCUGACGCUGAGGCACGAAGGUCAGGGGGAGCAAACGGG